rnacentral:rRNA from 1 species
UACGUAGGGGGCUAGCGUUGUCCGGAAUCAUUGGGCGUAAAGAGCGUGUAGGCGGCUCGGUAAGUCCGCUGUAAAGUCAAAGGCUCAACCUUUGAAUGUCAGUGGAUACUGCCGGGCUAGAGUCCGGAAGAGGCGAGUGGAACUCCUGGUGUAGCGGUGGAAUGCGCAGAUAUCAGGAAGAACACCAACGGCGAAGGCAGCUCGCUGGGACGGUACUGACGCUGAGACGCGAAAGCGUGGGGAGCGAACAGG